GGGGAAUAUUGCACAAUGGGCGCAAGCCUGAUGCAGCCAUGCCGCGUGUAUGAAGAAGGCCUUCGGGUUGUAAAGUACUUUCAGCGAGGAGGAAGGCGUUGUGGUUAAUAACCGCAACGAUUGACGUUACUCGCAGAAGAAGCACCGGCUAACUCCGUGCCAGCAGCCGCGGUAAUACGGAGGGUGCAAGCGUUAAUCGGAAUUACUGGGCGUAAAGCGCACGCAGGCGGUCUGUCAAGUCGGAUGUGAAAUCCCCGGGCUCAACCUGGGAACUGCAUCCGAAACUGGCAGGCUAGAGUCUUGUAGAGGGGGGUAGAAUUCCAGGUGUAGCGGUGAAAUGCGUAGAGAUCUGGAGGAAUACCGGUGGCGAAGGCGGCCCCCUGGACAAAGACUGACGCUCAGGUGCGAAAGCGUGGGGAGCAAAC
rnacentral:rRNA from 1 species